UUUUUAUACAUUGGGACAACCCGGAUUAAUUAUGAUAAUUUAGAGCCAAGACUAUUCCGGGAUUCGAAGUCGGGACUUUUGACCUUUGAUUUUAUUUCGAGGCAUAAGUUAUAUAUGGAAUUGUUGGCAUUGAACACUUAGGAAAAAUUUGGGACCACAAUUCAUAAAUUGGAAUUAAAAAAAAAAAUCUUGCAAAUGAGGCCUUGUGGCCCUCAAAUGGUCCCACACAUUGUGUGGCCAAUUUUAAUUGGUCCAACACAUGUGUGGGCCAUGGGACACAUGGAUAAAUAUUGUGGAAGCUUAAAAGAUGACCUUAAGUCAUCUUUACCACUUCAACACUUAGCAAAUAAAACCAAAAGUUGAAGAGCUUCAACAAGAAGCUCACGGCCAAGACUAAGAAAAAUCAACUCCAUUUCAAGCCAUCCCAAAAUUAUUUCUUUGUUGUAAACCCACUAUUUUGAGGUCCCUAAGUAGCGUGGAAGCAUCGUUGGAGCGAUCAAACCAUCAUUUUUCAUCUUUUGGAAACCCUAGGCUAUUGGAAAGUUGAAGAAGAAAGAUCGUGGGCAGCCCGAAUCAUAGGUUGGAUUUAGCUUGAGUUUGGAUCGUAUUGGAGAGCGUUUGAGGUAUGUAAAGUAACCUUUCUUUUGGCAUGCCUUAGUUAAAGUAGGCCAUGAUGCGAGCCUCUAGGAAACUCUAUUCUCGCAAAUCCGAGCUUGUCUAUGAUUCGUAUUUGUUUCCUUGGUAUUCUUGGGCGCAUAUGCCAUAACAUUGAUCCUUUUAUCCUCGGAGUUUAUGAUUUGUAAAGAUUUCAUGAAAGUUGAUUUUAGGUUUCAAAGCUUGUUCUUUAGCGAUUCCAAAAGUUCAAACGCCCAUAACUUCCUCAGAAAAGCUCGGAUUGCUUUGAAAUUUUCGUAGGAGUUUGUAUGAUAUAA